rnacentral:rRNA from 1 species
UACGUAGGGGGCAAGCGUUGUCCGGAUUUAUUGGGCGUAAAGAGCGUGUAGGCGGCUUGGUAGGUCCGCUGUGAAAACUCGAGGCUCAACCUCGAGAUGUCGGCGGAAACCGCUUGGCUAGAGUCCGGAAGAGGAGAGUGGAAUUCCCGGUGUAGCGGUGAAAUGCGCAGAUAUCGGGAAGAACACCUAUGGCGAAGGCAGCUCUCUGGGACGGUACUGACGCUGAGACACGAAAGCGUGGGGAGCGAACAGG